CAUCGUGAAGCUUCCUCAGGACUUUCACUCUAUCAGCGACAUCCCCGCCACACACCCCUCGCCCUCCCUCUCCUCACCGCCCCCUCCCCCACCCUACGCCCCUACCCACCAUCAUGUCUGAGAUCAAAUACGAGAACGGCCAGCCCGGCUACAGCGGCAACACCGUGGUGAAGUGCUUCAAGGACAACGGCAACGGGCUGCUGUUCCGCAUCGUGAACGACGAGGAGCACAAGUGGGCGUUCUACAACGACACCACGAACUACCAAAUGCUGGUGAAGGUCGCGUUCGGCAAGGACAGCAAGAUCGAGGCCAUCGGCAACACUACAAUGCAAAAAGACGAGGAGUCUGGCGAGUUCAAGUGCGAGCUGGAGAUUGCGCCGACGACGACAGAGAUGUUCAUCGAGGGCGAGCCGAACGGCUUCAAGAUCAGCUUCGAGGCUAACCCGAUUGCGAAGGCGUGAGGGGGCACCUUUGAGCGGGCAACGCGAGGCAGCUACGGACAUGUAGAGAGAGGAGGUAAGGGCGUGCGCGCGCUCACAAGCAAACAGGGACGCCAUGUAGAAGCGAUAGCAGAUCGCAAGCGCGAAAGAAAAAGGAGAGGGAGGGGUAGAGUGACAUCUGAGAAGAAGAGAGAAGAGGGUUGGCGUCUGUGGCGAAGAUAUGUAGUGCGUGCACUUUUCAAGUGCACCGCAGCAACAGUGAUUCCAGUCUCCGCAGUGUUCGACGCCGUCUCUCUCUCGCUUACGAUACCCUCUGUACCUCUCGCCCUCCUGCUCCCCUGUCGGUCAUCCUCACCAUGGGCGUGCUCCAGUGGCACGCGUGUCUCGCUAAACGCACGCUCCUGGGGGUACGGCCUGCCUCUCCACUCUUUUAGCCUCUCGCAUGCAUUUCUGUUACGCGCCGCUGUGAUGGAGAGUGCGAGAGUGGAGGGGCGUGAUGGACGCAUCGAUAGGGCGCGAAGUGUUCUCCCCCUUUUUCUUUUCGUAUUUUCAUGUUUGUUCUUUCUUUCGCUGCCUCGCAUCUUUUUCGUUUCGUUUUGCUGUUGUUGCGUGCGUGUGGUGUUUGUGAUGCCUCGCAUGCGCCUUGUGUCCUUGUCUUUCUUCAUCCUCCUCCUCUCUCGCCUGUAUAUAUAUAUAUAUAUAUUAUGUGCGUGCGUCUGUGUGCCCCGCACUCGCUCUCUCGAAGCCACGUCUUCGCUGCCAUGUUGUCCGCGAUUCAUCGUUUAUUUACCUUUUUCCUUUGAAAGCGGAAUUGGGGUGGUGGCGGUGGUGAUGGAUGGGUGUGGGUGGGUGUGUAUGAGCUUCUGAUCUUUGAGCGUCCCCCCCCCCCACUCCCUCCCUCCCUCCCUGCCCUUCUGCCCCCCCCCCCCCCGCCGCCGCACGCCUUCAUCGCCUCGGUUGUACGCUGUUCCGGUGAUCGCUUCCCUCUCUCACUACUUCUUCCUUUUCGCUCUUCCUCCGCACUCCCUCUCGUCUUCUCGCGUUCUGUGUCGCACAGCUUCUCCGGCAGAUGCACCGACGACACGCGCCACCGCAUGCAGACGCGCAUAUCUUCGUUUCUUCUUCGGCUCUUUGCUUCUGAGAUGGUUAUUGUGUAUUUUGCGGUGUGCACGAGGGGAGAGAAGGGAACGGAGCGAAGGCACUGAAAACUGUUUCAAGCAACGAACGCACACGCUUUAUGAAAAAAAAAGCGGGAAGUGAGAAAACAAGCGGGCAUGGGUGUGGAAAGAGGGGGGCAAGAGAGAAGAUCGAUCUUCCAAACUCUGGAGAAGGAAAAGGGGGUGGAGUGAAGUCUAGGAGAAUAGGAGAGGGUGGUGGGGGUGGUGCGUGCGUGCGUGCGGGUGACGGUGCAUGAUGCGAUCCGAAUGGGGUUGAGGCAUGCCCGUCAAUGCCCGCGUUGCGAGCAUGUCCGGAUGUGUGCGUUGGGGAGAUAAUGAUGUAUGUGUGUGUGGAAGAGAGAGGAAGGGACUCUGUCCGCUCCCAUGCACGGAUCGCAUUCCUCGCCUCUGAUAUCCCCUCACUCCCUCCGUGUUUCUAUUUCUCGCUCUCGCAUGCAUUCGCCCACCAACAUCACGCACCGCAAGCACACAUAGACACUUGUUCUGCGCCCCGCCCCUCCCCUCGCCCUUACCUCGUGCCGUCCCCCGCGGACGCCUUUCACCUCCCUCCCUUCUCUCGUCAGCACGACAUGUAGAGACAGAAGAUGCGGC
rnacentral:misc_RNA from 1 species